UCGAUUCCCUUAGUAGCGGCGAGCGAAACGGGAAGAGCCCAAACCAACAAGCUUGCUUGUUGGGGUUGUAGGACACUCUAUACGGAGUUACAAAGGACGACAUUAGACGAAUCAUCUGGAAAGAUGAAUCAAAGAAGGUAAUAAUCCUGUAGUCGAAAAUGUUGUCUCUCUUGAGUGGAUCCUGAGUACGACGGAGCACGUGAAAUUCCGUCGGAAUCUGGGAGGACCAUCUCCUAAGGCUAAAUACUCUCUAGUGACCGAUAGUGAACCAGUACCGUGAGGGAAAGGUGAAAAGCACCCCGGAAGGGGAGUGAAAUAGAACCUGAAACCGUGUGCUUACAAGUAGUCAGAGCCCGUUAAUGGGUGAUGGCGUGCCUUUUGUAGAAUGAACCGGCGAGUUACGAUUUGAUGCAAGGUUAAGCAGUAAAUGUGGAGCCGUAGCGAAAGCGAGUCUGAAUAGGGCGUUUAGUAUUUGGUCGUAGACCCGAAACCAGGUGAUCUACCCUUGGUCAGGUUGAAGUUCAGGUAACACUGAAUGGAGGACCGAACCGACUUACGUUGAAAAGUGAGCGGAUGAACUGAGGGUAGCGGAGAAAUUCCAAUCGAACCUGGAGAUAGCUGGUUCUCUCCGAAAUAGCUUUAGGGCUAGCCUCAAGUGAUGAUUAUUGGAGGUAGAGCACUGUUUGGACGAGGGGCCCCUCUCGGGUUACCGAAUUCAGACAAACUCCGAAUGCCAAUUAAUUUAACUUGGGAGUCAGAACAUGGGUGAUAAGGUCCGUGUUCGAAAGGGAAACAGCCCAGACCACCAGCUAAGGUCCCAAAAUAUAUGUUAAGUGGAAAAGGAUGUGGCGUUGCCCAGACAACUAGGAUGUUGGCUUAGAAGCAGCCAUCAUUUAAAGAGUGCGUAAUAGCUCACUAGUCGAGUGACACUGCGCCGAAAAUGUACCGGGGCUAAACAUAUUACCGAAGCUGUGGAUUGUCCUUUGGACAAUGGUAGGAGAGCGUUCUAAGGGCGUUGAAGCAUGAUCGUAAGGACAUGUGGAGCGCUUAGAAGUGAGAAUGCCGGUGUGAGUAGCGAAAGACGGGUGAGAAUCCCGUCCACCGAUUGACUAAGGUUUCCAGAGGAAGGCUCGUCCGCUCUGGGUUAGUCGGGUCCUAAGCUGAGGCCGACAGGCGUAGGCGAUGGAUAACAGGUUGAUAUUCCUGUACCACCUAUAAUCGUUUUAAUCGAUGGGGGGACGCAGUAGGAUAGGCGAAGCGUGCGAUUGGAUUGCACGUCUAAGCAGUAAGGCUGAGUAUUAGGCAAAUCCGGUACUCGUUAAGGCUGAGCUGUGAUGGGGAGAAGACAUUGUGUCUUCGAGUCGUUGAUUUCACACUGCCGAGAAAAGCCUCUAGAUAGAAAAUAGGUGCCCGUACCGCAAACCGACACAGGUAGUCAAGAUGAGAAUUCUAAGGUGAGCGAGCGAACUCUCGUUAAGGAACUCGGCAAAAUGACCCCGUAACUUCGGGAGAAGGGGUGCUCUUUAGGGUUAACGCCCAGAAGAGCCGCAGUGAAUAGGCCCAAGCGACUGUUUAUCAAAAACACAGGUCUCUGCUAAACCGUAAGGUGAUGUAUAGGGGCUGACGCCUGCCCGGUGCUGGAAGGUUAAGAGGAGUGGUUAGCUUCUGCGAAGCUACGAAUCGAAGCCCCAGUAAACGGCGGCCGUAACUAUAACGGUCCUAAGGUAGCGAAAUUCCUUGUCGGGUAAGUUCCGACCCGCACGAAAGGCGUAACGAUUUGGGCACUGUCUCAACGAGAGACUCGGUGAAAUCAUAGUACCUGUGAAGAUGCAGGUUACCCGCGACAGGACGGAAAGACCCCGUGGAGCUUUACUGUAGCCUGAUAUUGAAAUUCGGCACAGCUUGUACAGGAUAGGUAGGAGCCUUUGAAACGUGAGCGCUAGCUUACGUGGAGGCGCUGGUGGGAUACUACCCUAGCUGUGUUGGCUUUCUAACCCGCACCACUUAUCGUGGUGGGAGACAGUGUCAGGCGGGCAGUUUGACUGGGGCGG
rnacentral:rRNA from 1 species